UACGAAGGGGGCUAGCGUUGUUCGGAAUUACUGGGCGUAAAGCGUGCGCAGGCGGCUAUCCAAGUCAGUGGUGAAAGCCCGGAGCUCAACUCCGGAAUUGCCAUUGAAACUGUUUAGCUCGAGUACGAGAGAGGUGAGUGGAAUUCCCAGUGUAGAGGUGAAAUUCGUAGAUAUUGGGAAGAACACCGGUGGCGAAGGCGGCUCACUGGCUCGUAACUGACGCUCAUGCACGACAGCGUGGGGAUCAAACAGG
rnacentral:rRNA from 1 species